rnacentral:rRNA from 1 species
AGCAGUCGCCGCGGUAAUACGUAGGUCCCGAGCGUUGUCCGGAUUUAUUGGGCGUAAAGGGAGCGCAGGCGGUUUAGUAAGUCUGAAGUUAAAGGCAUUGGCUCAACCAAUGUAUGCUUUGGAAACUGUUAGACUUGAGUGCAGAAGGGGAGAGUGGAAUUCCAUGUGUAGCGGUGAAAUGCGUAGAUAUAUGGAGGAACACCGGUAGCGAAAGCGGCUCUCUGGUCUGUCACUGACGCUGAGGCUCGAAAGCGUGGGUAGCGAACAGGAUUAGAGACCCCGGUAGUCCCUGUCUCUUAUACA